UACAGAGGGUGCAAGCGUUGUCCGGUAUUACUGGGCGUAAAGGGCGCGUAGGCGGUCCGAUAAGUAGGAGGUGAAAUUCCGUGGCUUAACCACGGAACGGCCUUCUAGACUGUCGGACUGGAGCACGGUAGAGGCAGAUGGAAUUCCCGGUGUAGCGGUGGAAUGCGUAGAGAUCGGGAAGAACACCAGUGGCGAAGGCGGUCUGCUGGGCCGUUGCUGACGCUGAGGCGCGACAGCGUGGGGAGCAAACAGG
rnacentral:rRNA from 1 species